ACGUUAGCGGCGGACGGGUGAGUAACACGUGGGUAACCUACCUAUAAGGCUGGGAUAACUCCGGGAAACCGGGGCUAAUACCGGAUAACACAUGAAACCGCAUGGUUUCAUGAUGAAAGACGGUUUUGCUGUCACUUAUAGAUGGACCCGCGGCGUAUUAGCUAGUUGGUAAGGUAACGGCUUACCAAGGCAACGAUACGUAGCCGACCUGAGAGGGUGAUCGGCCACACUGGAACUGAGACACGGUCCAG
rnacentral:rRNA from 1 species